GUGCUCGCUUCGGAAACACAUAUACUAAAAUUGCAAUGAUACAGAGAAGAUUAGCACGGCCACUACGCAAGGAUGACAUGCAAAUUCUUGAAACAUUCCAUAUUUUU
ensembl:snRNA U6 U6 spliceosomal RNA